rnacentral:rRNA from 1 species
GGAAAAAGAGGAGUGGCGAACGGGUGAGUAACACGUGGGUAACCUGCCCAUCAGAAGGGGAUAACACUUGGAAACAGGUGCUAAUACCGUAUAACAAUCGAAACCGCAUGGUUUUGAUUUGAAAGGCGCUUUCGGGUGUCGCUGAUGGAUGGACCCGCGGUGCAUUAGCUAGUUGGUGAGGUAACGGCUCACCAAGGCCACGAUGCAUAGCCGACCUGAGAGGGUGAUCGGCCACAUUGGGACUGAGACACGGCCCAAACUCCUACGGGAGGCAGCAGUAGGGAAUCUUCGGCAAUGGACGAAAGUCUGACCGAGCAACGCCGCGUGAGUGAAGAAGGUUUUCGGAUCGUAAAACUCUGUUGUUAGAGAAGAACAAGGAUGAGAGUAACUGUUCAUCCCUUGACGGUAUCUAACCAGAAAGCCACGGCUAACUACGUGCCAGCAGCCGCGGUAAUACGUAGGUGGCAAGCGUUGUCCGGAUUUAUUGGGCGUAAAGCGAGCGCAGGCGGUUUCUUAAGUCUGAUGUGAAAGCCCCCGGCUCAACCGGGGAGGGUCAUUGGAAACUGGGAGACUUGAGUGCAGAAGAGGAGAGUGGAAUUCCAUGUGUAGCGGUGAAAUGCGUAGAUAUAUGGAGGAACACCAGUGGCGAAGGCGGCUCUCUGGUCUGUAACUGACGCUGAGGCUCGAAAGCGUGGGGAGCAAACAGGAUUAGAUACCCUGGUAGUCCACGCCGUAAACGAUGAGUGCUAAGUGUUGGAGGGUUUCCGCCCUUCAGUGCUGCAGCUAACGCAUUAAGCACUCCGCCUGGGGAGUACGACCGCAAGGUUGAAACUCAAAGGAAUUGACGGGGGCCCGCACAAGCGGUGGAGCAUGUGGUUUAAUUCGAAGCAACGCGAAGAACCUUACCAGGUCUUGACAUCCUUUGACCACUCUAGAGAUAGAGCUUCCCCUUCGGGGGCAAAGUGACAGGUGGUGCAUGGUUGUCGUCAGCUCGUGUCGUGAGAUGUUGGGUUAAGUCCCGCAACGAGCGCAACCCUUAUUGUUAGUUGCCAUCAUUCAGUUGGGCACUCUAGCAAGACUGCCGGUGACAAACCGGAGGAAGGUGGGGAUGACGUCAAAUCAUCAUGCCCCUUAUGACCUGGGCUACACACGUGCUACAAUGGGAAGUACAACGAGUUGCGAAGUCGCGAGGCUAAGCUAAUCUCUUAAAGCUUCUCUCAGUUCGGAUUGCAGGCUGCAACUCGCCUGCAUGAAGCCGGAAUCGCUAGUAAUCGCGGAUCAGCA